CUCAGCUCAACGGGGUGCUCCGGCGACCUUUCCGACGAGGAAUUGGUGGAGGAAAUUCCGUGAGGGAGAGGUCUUCUUCACCCGAUUUGUGGAGAUUUCUGUUGAAGGGAGGAAGAGCUUUAAAGCUUCCUCCACGGUCGGCCGGUUCUCGGCUCCAACGCUCGGUCUCCUCCGACGCUCGGUCUCCUCCGGGGACUCCCUCCAACGCCGCCGCUGCCCCUUUUUUUUGUGUGUGUUUCUUCUCCCACGAUAGUGCCUAGGGCACGAUCGUAUAUGGUGGAUGGGCCCGGUCUUUUCGGG
rnacentral:lncRNA from 1 species